rnacentral:rRNA from 1 species
GGGUGCUAUCAUACCAGCACUAAUGCAACGGAUACCAUCGGAACUACGCAGUUAAGCUUGCACGAGAGUAGUACUGGGAUGGGUGAGUUCCUCGGAAGUCCUCGUGUUGCACCCC